GACGCGGCAAAGUGGGCAAGGUAUCUGGCAGCCGGAAACUGAGAUCGCUUCCCCAUAGACCCAUGAGCCGGGCCAGCCGUUCGCGCGAACUUGUCGCCUCUUGUCGCGUGGCGGCAAGAUCCGCUGUCGUUUCGGCGUAGAACACCUGCUCGCGGGCCUGAUCGAGCUUGUUGAGUGAACCGGUCUCUCCGAGCUUCUGGGCAAGCUUGGCGGUCGACUCCGCCGUCGACUUGGCGUCGGU
rnacentral:misc_RNA from 1 species